UACGUAGGGGGCUAGCGUUGUCCGGAUUUAUUGGGCGUAAAGAGCGUGUAGGCGGUUAGGUAGGUCCGUUGUGAAAACUCGAGCUCAACCUCGAGACGCCGAUGGAAACCCUCCAGCUAGAGUCCGGAAGAGGAGAGUGGAAUUCCUGGUGUAGCGGUGAAAUGCGCAGAUAUCAGGAGGAACACCGAUGGCGAAGGCAGGUCUCUGGGCAUUAACUGACGCUGAGGAGCGAAAGCAUGGGGAGCGAACAGG
rnacentral:rRNA from 1 species